rnacentral:misc_RNA from 1 species
CAGUGUUAGGCUUCGGCCUCAUUCACACCCCUUGUUUAACCUCUGGUUUCUUUGGCGAUGUCAGACUCGUCAAACUUUAACUCUGGUAAUGUGAUACUGUCCGAGUGAUAUUAAAUCAUAA